UUCCAUUUUAUUUUAAUAUUAGGUAUUGUAAACUUUGAGACUAACUUUUAUAUUUGUAGAUGUGAUUGGUUAGGUUGUGAUCUUGGAGCUGUUCAGACCUACAAGCAAGGAGAUAAUAAAAGUGUCUUUGUGAAUGUUGAACUCGAAGAUGAGCAAUGGCAGCAACACCUGCUGAAUACUACCACCAAAUGCAAGACAAUCAUCUAGGUUUAUGAUGAAUCCUUCUUCAAUGUCCAUGUUCAUUAGCAGAUAGUACUGCAGGGAUUCCGCGAACACAAAUAUGGUUGUUUAAGAGCAACUAAAAUCUUGGCAGAGAUGAGGAAUACAUUAGCGCUAAUUGUUGUUCUGUGUAUCAACUCUUCUAAGGAUGGGUCAAGAGAACAUGAAAAUUUGUGGGUUGCUUUUAAAUAUGAUAUUUCACAUGGCAACCAGUUACGCUGCUUCCUUAGCUCAGAUGACUUGGAUGGGGUAUUUGUUCCUGAACCUUAUAUGACUGAACUUUGAGCUGGAGCAAUUCAUCCAAGAUCUAGCGUCUAAACAUAUUAUUUCUCACAUGGAGCAAAAAUUUAUCUUCUCAAUCACCAAGGCAAGACAAUCAACUACAUUCAUGAUGAAUCCUUCUCCAACAUCCAGGUUCAUUAGGAGAUGAUACUGUAGGGACUCCACGGACACACAGAGGUGCAA